ACAGAGUGGUGAGUUGGCAGCAGCAUGAAGAGAUUACAGAGUUGCCCAGAGACAAUGUGGUGAGGUGGCAGCAGCCUGAGGAGACCACAGAGUGGCCCAGUGACAGAGUGUGGUUAAAUGG